CAGGACAAAGGUUCUUAGGCUGUAACUGAUCCAUUGAACUGAACAGGGUCAAACUAAACAGGGUUAAUGCUCUGUAGACACACUGGUGACAGAGGACACAACAUAUAAACCACGCAACCCCAUUUCAUCAUUGUCUGUGUAGACGAGAAUGGUAAAUGAUAGUUCUAUGCGGCCUAUGUCUAUAGUCUAGGAACCAGCAGUCUCCAGAGGGCAGCAGAACAAGGCGGCGACCCCUGUGGCCAAGCAAAGCCAUCCAUUAGCUGGAAGGCCCAGCUUUCAGGCUGAACACCAGUGAACAGAACUAAAGGUCAAACCUCAGGGGUUUGAGAGGAGAAUAAGAGGAAGAAAUCAUCAACCAGGAUGCAUAUUAAGGAGUGUCCCCUGCAGCUUGUUAGUCUGCAAGUAUCGUCAGUAGAAAAUGUACGUCGCCACACUAUUACCAGGAUAGAGUGUGUAGCACGCUGCUCAGUUCAGAACUGGAUGAACGACCUUGAGCCUGCGCACAGGGUUGUGUUGCCGUGGCAACGAAGC